GCCCAGACUCCUACGGGAGGCAGCAGUCGGGAAUAUUGCGCAAUGGAGGAAACUCUGACGCAGUGACGCCGCGUAUAGGAAGAAGGUUUUCGGAUUGUAAACUAUUGUCGUUAGGGAAGAUAAAAGACUGUACCUAAGGAGGAAGCCCCGGCUAACUAUGUGCCAGCAGCCGCGGUAAUACGGAGGGUGCGAGCGUUAAUCGGAAUUACUGGGCGUAAAGCGCUCGUAGGCGGUAUGUCAAGUCAAGGGUGAAAUCCCCGCGCUCAACGUGGGAACUGCCUUUGAAACUGGCAAACUGGAGUGUGUGAGAGGAUAGUGGAAUUCCAGGUGUAGGAGUGAAAUCCGUAGAUAUCUGGAGGAACAUCAGUGGCGAAGGCGACUAUCUGGCACAUAACUGACGCUGAGGAGCGAAAGCGUGGGUAGCAAACAGGAUUAGAUACCCCGGUACU
rnacentral:rRNA from 1 species